GGUCGGGGCCCGAGGCUUCCCCAUUGCUUUGCGGGGCGUGCCCGGGGCGGGCUGCGGGCCCGUGGGUGGCUGGACCCAGAGAUCCCCGGGGCUGGUGAGCGGGCUUCCAGGGCUGCUGCCCUCCAACGUGCCGCCCUUUCGCAGGCCCGAAGGGAAAAGGCAAAGAGCGCGGUUUGUCAAAGAUUGCUGAGAAAGCUGAGUGGGGCAGGCUGGGAGGUAGCGGCUCUGAGCUGCCAAGCCCUCAGUUGAAAGAUACAGGAGAGAAAAGUCUGCAAGAAAGUAACCCUUGCGAAGAGACCCAGAAUGAGAUUGCUCCAUUGAGCGAGUCAGUGACUGAUGACCUCCAGGUUGACAGUAGUUCAUCAGAUAGUGAGCUAGUAUCAGGACCAAGUUUACAACAUGAUAUUUCCAGUUCUCUUCUGAGCUAUUCAGUCACAGAGUCUUACACAGAAUUCAACAGUGUUGAAGAAAAUUUAAGUAGCUUUUCGUCACCUGAACUGUUCAGAGGAUCAAAUUAUUUGGAUUGGGAGUGUCCCAAAUUGACAGAACACGUGCAGUGCAAGAAUUCUACUCUCCUGGACAGCAGUAAAGCAGUGGCCGUAGAGAAGGCACCAGAGUUUUCAAACCUCUCUGCAAUUUUGGAUAAUGCAGAUUGUGAGGUUUUACUUGCUGAGAAAAUUUGCCCUUCAACCUCUGAAGAAACAGAGAAAAAACCUGAAAAAGAUUCAGAAGAUAGAGCUACAAAUAUUCAGACAAAGUUAAAUCAUCAUGCACAAAUCGACACUGUGUCAUCCCACCACAGGCUUGCUCUUGAAAGCAGUGCACCUAGCUCAGUUACUGGAGUUCUGCUGCCUCAGCCCCUGGCACCUGCCUUGAAAACAAAUUCUCAUAUUCCUAAUAAGAGAAGUGGAGGCCUGGUAACAAGUACUCCAUCUUCAGAGACAGCUGGUUUUGUGAUUGAUUUGUCCUCAGUGCAAAAAGCAUCUUGUGAAGAGUUACUUCCAAAUGUCAGCAGUUAUGCUAAUACAGAUGAAAUUGUUCCUGUAUCAGGUUUGCAAGAAAAUUCUUCACAUGAGUUUCCUUCGAACAGACCAGAAAUCUGUUGUAUUAUUAAGGCAUCACCAGGAGUUAGACAGAUGAAAAGUAAAGGUGUUAUUAUAAAGAAGAAGAGAUAUUCUCCUCCUAGAGAUAUUCCUCAAGAUAUUAUAACAAAAGCAAAUGGCAAGAUAUAACAGCUAUGGAUGAAAUUUUAUUACUUUGAAGAUAUGAAUGUGAACUCAAAGUCCUUAAAAGAAUGUCUACAUAAAAUUAUAUGAAAUGUCUACCUGAAGUUAUAUGAAAUUAAAAAAUUCAGAAUUCUCCAAUUUUUGUGAUAUUUCUCUGUGUAGAAAUUCUCUUGAAAUUUUUGUAAUUUACUUUUAAUCAGUGAAGAAAAUUCUUCCAUAGGCUUCUUAAAUACAUGUAUUUGUAUUAUAAAAGCAGAGCCAAAUAGAUGAUAUUAGAAAACUAAACAUUAAAAUACACGAUUUUGCUAUUUGUAAAGAGCCAGCACUAAGGAAUUCUGGAACUUCCUUUGUUUUUGUUUUUGUCCCCUAAAGUCUAUCCUUUGUAUGGAUUAAAGGAGUAAAGUUGUUGAAGUGCUA
rnacentral:lncRNA from 1 species